GGUGAACGAGUUAAGGAGACCACCACAAUGUAGCUGGUUGGAAAUAACCAUUGGAUGUAUGAGAGAAACCCCCUAAAAGCCCCACAUACAUGCAGAAUUUUCGAACCUACAUCCAAUGAUUAUUACAAGAUGUCAGCAUUGUGGCGGUUUUUGUUUGAACAGUUUUACACUUAGUUCAUACUCUCACUGACCCCAUGUUGUAUUUUGGCUGAUUUUUCUCUGUGGGUAAUUUCGUCGAACAGGUAGUGGGUUUAAAUCACUGCAAUCAUACCUAUCCGGUUACUUUGGUGUUGCUGUAAAACUCCAAUCUGGCUACACUGCAGGAGUUAUCACAUCAUUCUACGUUAGUAUAAUUUUCGUUAAACAAGAUACAGAAUCAUCCCAAAACUUGAUAAACGAUAAACACUCGAAUAAAACACUGAGCUAACCGUGUUUUAAUUCAUUCUGAUUCAGCUCUCAAACAACCAAUAUUUCCCUGGAAACCACGACGAAAUUGACCUCGAAUUCCUGGGAACAACACCAGGGAAGCCGUACACUCUCCAAACAAACGUCUUCAUCAGAGGAAGUGGAGAUGGAA
rnacentral:lncRNA from 1 species